rnacentral:misc_RNA from 1 species
GUUCAAGGAUGGUCUCUUCCAGUGGAAACGACUGGAAAACCUAAUAUCUCUUGCAAAGGAAAAUGUCACGAAACUGAGCAAAAACCCUGCAUUUCGAGGGAAUAAUAGAGGAGCAAGCAAUCAUUUGAAGAAUGAACAGAAGUUAGACCUCACUGACACAAUCAAGGAUGGAGCUCGACUUUUCAUAAUUGACGAAGGAAUCCGCAGGCAGCUUCUUCUUGCUUUGACCGAAGACUCCAAGCUUCACAUUGAAGAAGUAGUUGAUGUAUAUAGACUGCUUGAAGACCAGGUAGAUGUACCUUCAAUGGCUAUGGAACUAGCCCAAGACUUACCAUCCGUUGCUCGAGAUAUAUUGCUUUCAUGGAGUUCCUCUGUAU